GAUGAACGCUAGCUACAGGCUUAACACAUGCAAGUCGAGGGGAAACCCCCUCCCAAUCUUUCUUUUUAUUGGCCUCCACCCGCCCCCCGGUUAUUUACCCCUUUCCCACCUUCCCCUUCCUUUGGAAUUACCUUUCCUAAUUUAUCCUAAUUCCCCAUUUCCUCCCCCGAAUACCUUUUAAUUGGAUUUAAUUUUUUUCCGUUAUUGAUGGGGAUUCGUCUGAUUUGCUUGUUUGCUGGGUUACGGCCCACCAAGGCAACGAUCAGUAGGGGUUCUGAGAGGAAGGGACCCCACAAGGGAACUGAGACACGGACCAAACUCGUACGGGAGGCAGCAGUGAGGAAUAUUGGUCAAUGGGCGAGAGCCUGAACCAGCCAAGUAGCGUGCAGGAGGACGGCCCUAUGGGUUGUAAACUGCUUUUAUAAGGGAAUAAAGUGGGUCUCGUGAGACUUUUUGCAUGUACCUUAUGAAUAAGGACCGGCUAAUUCCGUG
rnacentral:rRNA from 1 species